rnacentral:rRNA from 1 species
UACGUAGGGGGCUAGCGUUGUCCGGAAUCAUUGGGCGUAAAGCGCGUGUAGGCGGUCCGGUAAGUCCGCUGUGAAAGUCGAGGGCUCAACCCUCGAAUGCCGGUGGAUACUGUCGGGCUAGAGUGCGGAAGAGGCGAGUGGAAUUCCAGGUGUAGCGGUGAAAUGCGUAGAUAUCUGGAGGAACACCGGUGGCGAAGGCGGCAUCCUGGACCGAGAUUGACGCUGAGGCGCGAAAGCCAGGGGAGCAAACGGG